AGUGAACGCUGGCGGUAGGCCUAACACAUGCAAGUCGAACGGCAGCACAGUAAGAGCUUGCUCUUACGGGUGGCGAGUGGCGGACGGGUGAGGAAUACAUCGGAAUCUACUUUUUCGUGGGGGAUAACGUAGGGAAACUUACGCUAAUACCGCAUACGACCUACGGGUGAAAGCAGGGGAUCUUCGGACCUUGCGCGAUUGAAUGAGCCGAUGUCGGAUUAGCUAGUUGGCGGGGUAAAGGCCCACCAAGGCGACGAUCCGUCGCUGGUCUGAGAGGAUGAUCCGCCACACUGGAACUGAGACACGGUCCAGACUCCUACGGGAGGCAGCAGUGGGGAAUAUUGGACAAUGGGCGCAAGCCUGAUCCAGCCAUACCGCGUGGGUGAAGAAGGCCUUCGGGUUGUAAAGCCCUUUUGUUGGGAAAGAAAAGCAGCAGGUUAAUACCCCGCUGUUCUGACGGUACCCAAAGAAUAAGCACCGGCUAACUUCGUG
rnacentral:rRNA from 1 species